rnacentral:rRNA from 1 species
GACGAACGCUGGCGGCGUGCUUAACACAUGCAAGUCGAACGGAAAGGCCCUGCUUGCAGGGUACUCGAGUGGCGAACGGGUGAGUAACACGUGGGUGAUCUGCCCUGCACUUCGGGAUAAGCCUGGGAAACUGGGUCUAAUACCGGAUAGGAGCCAUUUUUAGUGUGAUGGUUGGAAAGUUUUUUCGGUGUAGGAUGAGCUCGCGGCCUAUCAGCUUGUUGGUGGGGUAAUGGCCUACCAAGGCGGCGACGGGUAGCCGGCCUGAGAGGGUGGACGGCCACAUUGGGACUGAGAUGCGGCCCAGACUCCUACGGGAGGCAGCAGUGGGGAAUAUUGCACAAUGGGCGCAAGCCUGAUGCAGCGACGCCGCGUGGGGGAUGACGGCCUUCGGGUUGUAAACUCCUUUCGCUAGGGACGAAGCUUUUUGUGACGGUACCUAGAAAAGAAGCACCGGCUAACUACGUG